GUUUGAAAUGCCUGCAGUAUGGCGUGUGCACAGCAAUCUGCUACAAAGUACCUCAGCAACACCAGGAGAGACCUAGUGACUUGUAUGAAAAACCUUCCUCUGAUCAUUGAGAAUCUUUAUCAGAAGAAGGUUUUCAAUGACUAUGAGGUUGAUGCUCUCAAAGCCGAGAAGACAGAGUUUGAUAAAGCCAGAUGUAUAUUGGACUGGGUUAUUAACAAAGGUGAUGAGGCCAGUUAUGAAUUACUCAAGAUUCUGGAUCACAUUAGGAAGAGGACGUUAGAUCCUGGUUUACACCCCUGGAUCAGCUGUUUUCCCUUCAGAGAUGAAGACCCAGAGCCCAGCUGUUUAUUUGGUACAAAGCCCUGUAAAAACUACCAGACACAGCUCAAAAAGAAAGCAGAAAGUUUAUUGAAGGACCAAAGAGAAAGUUUCUGUAAAUAUCUGGAUGACAAGGUACAAGGAAACUUCAGUUUUAUUCCUCUUGUUUUAGAGACCGGCUCUGCGGUGAAAACUCCUCAAUGCAAAAUAUAUUUGAAAAACAAAAAAUGCAAAAAGCUACGGCCCAAAAAACUGAGAGCUUACAUUCCUACCGAUGGACAAGCGUUAUCACCUGAGGACCUCCUGAGAUGGAAGGACAAGAGCAUCCUCAUCAUCGGCAAACCUGGAGUAGGAAAGACUACAGUUGUCCAGGAAAUGCUGCAUCUUUGGGCAGAGAAGGAUGGCAGAGAGAUAGACUACAUGUUUUACUUUGAUGAAAGCGUUUUGGCUCACAAUAGUGUUGCCAGCUUGGAAUCUCUUUUGUUUGAUGUGUAUAUAAAACCAAUGGAAAAAGACAAAAAAGAAGUGUUUCAAGAUAUUGAGGAAAACUCUGAGAAUGUCGUUAUUGUAUUUGACUGUGUGAUGGAUUUGGGAAAAAAAUCCAUCUUGUGGAAGAUCAUGAAGCACGAGCUCCUGCCGGAUGCCAAGAUUGUGAUCACAUGCAGAUCAGAUGUGGAAGAGGAUCCACUUUUCUCUAACUGGCCGACACGGACAGUGUAUGUACAAGGAUUCAGUGCAGAGUCUAUCAACACUUACUAUCAGAAGAUGUUGGGUCAUGAUCCUGUUCUUCUAGAAGUUGUUUUGAAGAAUCAAGAGCUCUUCAGUCUUAGUCAUGUUCCGUUGUAUGCAUUCAUGAUUGCAGACUUGAUUAAGUUUAAAAAUGACACUGUAUGCAACCAUCCACACACAGUCACUGAAAUCUACAUCCACAUUUUCCGUCUUGCUGUGAAGAAACAUGGGAAUAAACAAAAUAAGCAAAUAGACAAGUACCUGAAAGAGAAGAAGGAUCAGAUCCAUCCCUUGAUAAAAAAUGCUUUCAAUGGCACUAUGCAGAAGUGCCUGAACCUUCCAGAUUUUAGCAGUGAUGAGACGGACAUUUGUCAUGCUUUUCUGAAAAUGAUCACAACAACAGACUCACCAACAUCUGCAACAACAUACUGUGCGUUUCUCCACAACACAAUGCAGGAAUUCUUCUCCGCUUUGUGGCUUCUUGGACAUCCAGAUGAAGUUGAGAAAGUCUUACUGCUCUGUCAGACUGAGGAUCAUAAACACAUGAGAUAUGUUCUUCCUUUCUUAUGUGGACUUCUGAGUGAACACAACACCAGACUCCUCAAGUGUCUCUUCCCAGAGGAUCAGAUAAAGAAAACAUCUGGUUGGUUGAUUGAGAAGCUUUUGGACACGUUUCUUCAAGCUCAGAGUGAGAGUGAAGAGUUUGAUCUUCUCUAUGUGUGUCAGUGCUUGUAUGAGCUCCAGUCUCCUAAAGCCUGUUUAAUUUUCUUGGAGAAGAUGAACCAUCAGCUUGAACCAGAAGUGGAUCUUGAUCCUCAUCAGUGUUGUGCUCUGUCUUACGUGAUCAGUCAGUCCAGAGAUAAAGAGGUUUAUCUGAAUCUGGACGACUGUACCGUAGCUGAUGUAGGAAUGAUCAUGAUGCUCAGCUGCUCACCAAACAUCAGGUUAAAAUCUUGUAAAGAACCGCUGAAACAAAUCACCUUCUUUGUAGAAUUCUUCCACAAAUCAUUAAAUAAUUGCGACUGCAAACUUUUUGAGGUGAGAGGACGAUAUAACCCAGAAACAUUCAAUCCUCUGCUGGAUCUGUACUCACAUGUGAGGAACUAUGAGACUCAAACAGGCAGGAGUUUUCUUCCAGCAUUACAGGCAGUUUUCCAGUCACCUGAUGCCUGGAUCAUAGAUCUCUCAGAGAGAAAGAGCUCGGUCCUCCUGGAAGUGCUGAAGCUCCAGACAGAGAAGAAACCAGUAAAUCUGAUUGGAUGUUCAGAGGAAGAGAGAGACGUGAAGAGUUUCCUUCAGUGUCUGCAACACAUCUCAGAGCUGAGAAUCUCUGAUCUGAGUGAAAGCGUUCUUCGUGGAUUUCUUCUGAGUCUCUUCAUUAAAGCAGCAGAGAUUGAGACACAGACAGGAGAACAGAUGCUGGAACUGUUAGCAUCAGUCUGCAUCAGCUCUUCUAAUUAUAAAUGGACUGACAUAUUUUAUGAUUGGGAUUUCCUGCUGGAUCUGUGCUCACAUGUGAAGAACUAUGAGACUCAAACAGGCAGGAGUGUUCUUCCAGCAUUACAGUCAGUUUUCCAGUCACCUGAUGUCUGGAGCAUAGAUCUCUCAGAGAGAAAGAGCUCGGUCCUCCUGGAAGUGCUGAAGCUCCAGACAGAGAAGAGAACAGUCGAGCUCAGAAGAUGUUCAGAGAAAGAGAGAGACGUGAAGAGUUUCCUUCAGUGUCUGCAACACAUCUCACAGCUGAGGUUCUGGAACAUUUAUAAUGAAGAAGAAAGGAUGUCUGCAGUCAGAUUCCUGCUGAAGCUCUGUGUUGCUGCUGGAGAAACUGAUGAAGAAACACGAUUCUUGACUCUGCUGUCAUCUGUGUGCAGCUACAAAACCUUCCCUUUUGAUGCAGAGUUUGGUGAUUAUGAUGCUGGUGUUCAGCGUGAUUUCCUGCUGGAUCUGUACUCUCAUGUGAAGAACUGUGAGACUCAAACAGGCAGGAGUUUUCUUCCAGCAUUACAGUCAGUUUUCCAGUCACCUGAUGUCUGGAUCAUAGAUCUCUCAGAGAGAAAGAGCUCGGUCCUCCUGGAAGUGCUGAAGCUCCAGACAGAGAAGAAACCAGUAGAGCUGAGAGGAUUGUCAGAGGAAGAGAGUGACGUGAAGAGUUUCCUUCAGUGUCUGCAACACAUCUCAGAGCUGAGGUUCUGGAACAUUUAUAAUGAAGAAGAAAGGAUGUCUGCAGUCAGAUUCCUGCUGAAGCUCUGUGUUGCUGCUGGAGAAACUGAUGAAGAAACACGAUUCUUGACUCUGCUGUCAUCUGUGUGCAGCUACAAAACCUUCCCUUUUGAUGCAGAGUUUGGUGAUUAUGAUGCUGGUGUUCAGCGUGAUUUCCUGCUGGAUCUGUACUCUCAUGUGAAGAACUGUGAGACUCAAACAGGCAGGAGUUUUCUUCCAGCAUUACAGUCAGUUUUCCAGUCACCUGAUGUCUGGAUCAUAGAUCUCUCAGAGAGAAAGAGCUCGGUCCUCCUGGAAGUGCUGAAGCUCCAGACAGAGAAGAAACCAGUAGAGCUGAGAGGAUUGUCAGAGGAAGAGAGUGACGUGAAGAGUUUCCUUCAGUGUCUGCAACACAUCUCAGAGCUGAGGUUCUGGAACAUUUAUAAUGAAGAAGAAAGGAUGUCUGCAGUCAGAUUCCUGCUGAAGCUCUGUGUUGCUGCUGGAGAAACUGAUGAAGAAACACGAUUCUUGACUCUGCUGUCAUCUGUGUGCAGCUACAAAACCUUCCCUUUUGAUGAAGAGGAUGAAGGUUAUGAUGCUGAUGUUCAGCGUGAUUUCCUGCUGGAUCUGUACUCUCAUGUGAAGAACUAUGAGACUCAAACAGGCAGGAGUUUUCUUCCAGCAUUACAGUCAGUUUUCCAGUCACCUGAUGUCUGGAUCAUAGAUCUCUCAGAGAGAAAGAGCUCGGUCCUCCUGGAAGUGCUGAAGCUCCAGACAGAGAAGAAACCAGUAGAGCUGAGAGGAUUGUCAGAGGAAGAGAGUGACGUGAAGAGUUUCCUUCAGUGUCUGCAACACAUCUCAAAGCUGCGACUCGACCUCACUCUCAAACCUAAAGCUGUCUCUGUCAGAAGAACAAGGCUUCUCUUCAGACACCUCACAAACAUACACACACUCAGGCUGAGUGGUUAUAUGCUGGUGAGAGUUGUGCAGGCGUUGAGGUUUAUGAAGGUUCGAGCUCCCAUCACCGUUAAUGAGCUCACACUUGAUCUGAAUGAGGAACAGCAGUCAGAAAGGAGUCUGUCCAGGAUCAUGAGCAAAUUAGCCAUCCUUCUGAGACUCUGGACGGUCAAGUGUUUGAACUUGACUGAAUACAAGAUUCAGUCUGUUUCUGUGUCUGUCCUGCUGUGUCACCAGGGACCAGUGACUCUCAGACUGUCCAAAGAGACUCUCCAGAAGCUUGUUAAUUGUGUUUAUGAAGCUCAGGAAGAGGAACUGACUCAGUGCUUCCUGCAGAAAGUGGGCAGGGAUCUGACUUCCUGUUCCUUGAGCUGGGAAGAGCUUCAUUAUUUCCUGCAGCACAGAAUUCAACAAAUCACUCUGAACCUCAGAAAAAGUAACAUUCAGGUCAACAUCAGAGAAAUUCUGCCAUUCCUGAACCGGAUUAAGUUUAAACGGAUGAGCUCUGCCUUCAUGCUGUGUGUUAUCAGAGAGAUCUAUGAGUCCGGCUCUGCUGGGUUUGUGUCCAGUCUGUUGAGUUCAGUGGAGAACUACAUUAACCUGCAGAGCAGAGAUCUGGACUCUGUUCACUGUGCGGCCCUGCGCUUCACACUGCAGCACUGCACUGCAGCUUCACUCAACCUGCUCUGGACCUCCAUACCUGAGGAAGAGCUGCAGAGCAUUCUGCCUCUCUUCACACACCUCUCCCACCUCAGUGUUGACAGGCUGCUGUUACUGAAGAUUCUUCACUGCUGCAGUGUCUCUGAUGUCCAGCAGGAAGCAGCAGCUGUUCUGCUCUCUGUCCUUCAGCACAAGCUGGACUUCUCCUGCUGCUCUGCUCUGGAUCUGACAGCAAACACAGACUCAGAGCCUCUACAUCUGACCGCUGACGACUGCCAUGAGAUGUCCAGAGUCAUUCAGAGAGCUGAUUCAGACACAAAGACACGGCUGAUUCUGCAGGACUGUGAGAUUCAUACAGCUGGCAUUUAUCAGCUGUUCCCAGUGUUACAUUCUGUUCAUCUCUGCUGUGAUAAACCUCUGCUGCUUCAGUUUCUGGCUCGUGUGAGGCCUGAGGAAGCCCAGUCUCUCUCUCAAGCUCUGGGUGAAGAGCUGGAUCUCAGUCAGACUCCGCUGGAUCCGCAGGUCUGUAGAGGUCUGGAGCUGAUUCUGGAAUAUUCUGAAGGACUGACAGAACUGGAUCUGAGUCAGUGCCGUCUCACCGAUCACAGCCUGGAUCUGCUGCUCCCAAACCUCCACAAAACUCAAAUCAUUGAUUUCAGUGGCAACAGCAUCACUGACGCUGGGGCUGAGAAGAUCUACAGUAUCGUCACUCGCAACAGUAACAUUGAGACAGUAAGGCUCUUCAACAACAGAAUUGAAUCCAGAGAGCUCUUCAGCAAAGACCCCCGAAUUGAGAUCUGGUGAUGUCUGGAAUCAACAAGCAGUGUCUCUCUAGUAGUGGACAGCAAUGAUGUAUUGAUAACAAGAGCCCAGAUGAUCCACAGCAACGACAGAAAGGAGGAGAUAGACACGAAGACAACCAAAAUAAAGAGCAAGUGCAUUCUGAUUAGCUGAUCUUC
ensembl:lncRNA